rnacentral:lncRNA from 10 species
AGUCACCCUGCAGUGACCCGGCCAGUACAGCCAUGCCGGGUCUCAGCUCUGCUCACCCGCGCAGCUCCCAGAAACUUCCCCGGCUUGUCUCCACUGGAAUCGGGAUGGAAGGGAGCCACGGCUGGCUCAGCCCCUCUCGGAGCAGAAAGAGGAAACUUCUGAAAAGAAGAUGGGGGCUGGGGGAGGACAUCAAUCAGCACGGACAACACCAAAAACCACCCAGAAGACAGCUCAGUGGACCCUAGCAGUGGAUUCUACAUGUCUGCAGAAAAUGAGCAGAAAACAAGCCAGAGUUACAGCUAUCUGCAGAGAGACUACAUCCAGGAGGUCUGAAGACUGAAAGUAAUCACUGCAGUCUGACUUCUACCACUGACACCCUUCCCAUACAUAAUUUAAAUGUGUAAUUAUAAUACCAUUGCUUAGUUAACGGACACCAAUUCGUGCAGGAGCUGCCACAAACAGUAAUAAACCAGCUGUGUUAGAAAUGGAUCACUUAUCAGUGCGUGCCCAAGCCUCCUAAUGCCUCAUGAUGUUUAAUAAUUAAAUUGUGACACCUUGAACCCGCAGCUGACACCAUGAAUCACAGUGGAAUUCUCCAAAUGGAAUGCAGCCACACCUCAGCUUCUGUGCUGCGUGCUGCCACUGAGGACAUUCGAUACCAUUGAAGCCGUCAGAUAGAGGAUGAAGACGGAUGGCCUCUUGGCACCCAUCUCUUUGGCAUGAACGAUGUGGGGAAACGUGAAUGGAAAUGGGGAACUGUUGCUGGCACCCAGAAGUCAUCCGGUCCGGAUGAAGCCAAGUCACAAGGAAGUGCCUCCAAUUAUUCUUCAUAAAUUCCUCUGAGGUUUCACUUCUUGUCCACACAAGACUUUAAUAAAAUGUGGCAUCUAACUGAAUAAAGACUAUCCUUUCGGGUGUGUGUGUCAUGACAGUACUAUUUAUGGAGGACCUCCUGUGUAGCAGUUCUUGCACUGUUUUACGUAAUCAUCCCCUUUCAUCCUAACAAUCACUCCUGUGAAGUAUGUGUCCUUAUUUUCAUUUCGUUGUAGAGAAAACCAAGGCUCUGAGACAUUAAGCAAUGUGCCCAAGGACACACAGCUAGUAAGUGGCUGGAUUUGAGCGCAAGCCUACAAGAAACUGUCUCCCGUGAGCUAAAUCAGACAGUUUGGAGGGGACAGCUGAAGGUAGCUGAACGAAAGAGACAGCUCUUCGUUUCAGGGUGCACCUUUCCCCUUGGGGAAAAAUAUGAAGGGAAAUGUCAGCUUUGGACUAAAGCCCUUCAGCCUUCACCUGUGGCGUGGGAACUAACAUUUCUGCAGUGCUUCGUCAUCACAGAGCUCACUCACAUCGACUGUCUCUCCUCUCAUCGCAAACGCAGGCAGUGGGGGCUCACCGGGGAGAAAAUUUGGCUCUGUGUGGUUACGUGAGUUGCUGACAAUCACACGGCCAGCAAGCAGUAAACCAGAACUGGAGCCCAGACCCUGGGCCACUGCCCCUUCCACCAAGCUCUGUGGCCUUGCCAAAGGAAGACAAGGUCUGGGAGAGUUCUGGAAGGAUCUGCUGUCUGAGGCACCUCCUUUUAGGAGAAGUGAACUUGUGACUGAGACUAGAGGGAUAAGAAAUCAUGUCCCCUCCCUCCGUGUGUCUCCUGAGCCGACCUCAGCCUCCACCCACCUACCUGCUGGGUGGGGUCCUCCUGGGCCCCCGACCCAAACUCGGAGUCCACUCCAAUUUCUCCAGACGCCCCUCCCAGAUGGACAAUUCAAAUCCAAGCACGCCAAACACUGACCUACCCUCCUCCCUUAAACCCACUUCCCUUCCUCCCCUACCCCUCACUCUCCAGGCAGGUACCCCCAAGCCAGGAACUUGGAGUCGCCCUCGAUAGGCCCCUUACUCCCAUCCCUCAGGUUAAACCAUCACUGAGGCCAAUGGAUUCUAUUCCUAAAGGUCUCCAGACUCUCCUCCCUUCUCUCCCCACAACCCCACCUGGCCUCAGUUCCGGCCUCGUCGCAUCUACCUGAACACGUGUACCACCUUCCUUUUCACCCCUCCCAUGCCUCUUCCCACUGUGCUCAGAGCCAGGAGGUAAAUCCAACCGUGGGGGCCCACUGUGGCUCUGCAGGGGGCUCUUCUCACCCUACCCCCACCCGGGCUCACAGCAGGUGAGACGCAUCUUGCUGAGGCCCACGGCCCCGUCCAGCCCAGCUCUCAGCACACUGCCCCAGCCACACUGAACCCCUUGCAAUCCCCCAAGGUGAGGGGGCCACGAAGGGCAGGACGAGUUCAAGUCUUGCCAACUUCACUCAAAGACGUGGGCACACCAGAGGGGCCAAGUCCUGCCCUCUGCCUUCCGGAGUGAAGGCUACUCUGCCUCUUUCUACAGAUGCAAUGAAGGUCUGGAGGGAUGGGGGGGAAGAGAGGCUGGCCUGGCGGGCAGCCCUUGAGUGCAGAGAGGGGGUCCUGAGCCCCAGGCCUGCAGGUCAGAGCAGAGCCCUCUCUUCUCUAUCUGACAAGCACAGAGCACUUGCUGUGGGUGGCUGCAGUGCUGGGUGCUGGGGUUACCAACAUCACCUGGCCCUGGUCUGGCUCUUCAUGGGGCUCUCAGCCACUGGGAGAGCAGGCACAGGGGAUUGGGGCAGCAGAGGCUGAUAAAGGUAAGCAAAUCUCCUUUGGGAGAGCUUCGGAGAAAUACACACCCCAAACCGGGAACUGGUGUCAUGGAAGCUUCCCCAACGGGUUAACCUUGAACUGACUUUGAAGAACGAGGUGCCCAACAAGAAAAGGGCGAUGGGAGGGUGCUCUGCGGGGAGGGUGCUCUGCGGGGAGGGUGGAGACAUGAGGCAGCUUGGUGCUCUCAGUUUUCCUGAGCAGAUGAGAGUAAAGGAGGGAGGGCUAGGGGAGAGGCUGAUGAGAGGGCAGGCCAGUCAUGCCCCUUCUCUCUCCUGGAGCCAUGGGAGCCGCUGCUGGAGUUCAGCAGGAGGGGACAGGUGAAGUUGGUGGAGAACCAUCACUUUCUUCUCCUUUACUCCUGAGAGGCGCCAUGAAUGAGCCAAUUCAGGGCAGAAAGGGGCCCCCUGCUGCAGGGCCAUGGCACAGAGCCCCCCCAGGCUGGAGCAAGGCCACGUCCUCAAUGUCCCUUUUCCAGGCCAUCAUCCCAGAGGCUCGCGAAUCUGCAGAUGACUGUCUGCGCUGCCAUGGACUGAACAUUUACG